ACAGUCUUUCUCUCCUCCCUAAUUCUUGACCGAUCAUUUUGUACUCUGCUGUUAGUGUUGAGAUUUCGGUUUUACCAGAAUUUUUGACAAUCGGUGGAUAUGCUUAUGCUUCUCUAUUGUUCCGAUAUAUGCUUUUCAAUCUGUUCUUUUUAUCUUUUUCUGAAAGUCGAAGUUUCGUUCUCCCUAUAUUCUCUGAUUG
rnacentral:lncRNA from 1 species